UAAUACGGAGGGGGCUAGCGUUGUUCGGAAUUACUGGGCGUAAAGGGCGCGUAGGCGGAUUGUCAAGUCAGAGGUGAAAGCCCUGGGCUCAACCUGGGAACUGCCUUUGAAACUAACGGUCUAGAGUCCGAGAGAGGAUGGCGGAAUUCCCAGUGUAGAGGUGAAAUUCGUAGAUAUUGGGAAGAACACCAGUGGCGAAGGCGGCCAUCUGGCUCGGUACUGACGCUGAGGCGCGAAAGCGUGGGGAGCAAACAGGAUUAGAUACCCUGGUAGUCCACGCCGUAAACGAUGUGUGCUAGCCGUUGGGAAACCUAGUUUUUCAGUGGCGCAGCUAACGCAUUAAGCACACCGCCUGGGGAGUACGGUCGCAAGAUUA
rnacentral:rRNA from 1 species